CUGCUAAGCAAGAAAGAUUCAAUAUUCGCCUAAUUUGUCAACCAUCCAAUUCUUCGGAUUUCAACAUUUUUGACUUUCAACAUUCUUGACUUGGAUUUUUUUCAAGCUAUUCAAGUAAUUCAAUACAAGAAGAAUGUAAGAACAAUACAAACUCUAAUUCCAGCAGUGCAAGAGGCAUUCAUGGAGUAUUCGGUAUACAAAGCAAACCGAAUGUUUCUAACACUACAAAGUGUUUUGAUGGAAGCUAUGAAGGUGACAAGUUCAAAAUUCCUCACAUGCAAAAUGAAACAUUAGAAAGAGAAGAUCGGCUGCCAACUUCUAUCCCUUGUGAUCCAUCUUUGCUAGAUGAAGCCGAGGCUACUAUUGCUGCAGCAAACAAUUAGAAUUAUGCUAGUUAGCUUAACCAGUAGACGAGCAUGGUUGUAACAAUUAGAACUAAAGCUAUUUAUCUUA